rnacentral:misc_RNA from 1 species
AAGUCGUAACAAGGUUUCCGUAGGUGAACCUGCGGAAGGAUCAUUAACGAGUUUUAAUUGUCUGAUUAGAGUUGAGCUGGUUAACAAGUGCUCUUCUAAUCGACAAGUCCACUCAUUACUUAACACUUGUGAACUUAUCUAUUAUAAACAUUAUAACUUGUCAUUGGAACGUUUGAUUAUCAAAAGUUAAUACAACUUUCAACAACGGAUCUCUUGGCUCUC